GAUGAACGCUGGCGGCGUGCCUAAUACAUGCAAGUCGAGCGAACAGACGAGGAGCUUGCUCCUCUGACGUUAGCGGCGGACGGGUGAGUAACACGUGGAUAACCUACCUAUAAGACUGGGAUAACUUCGGGAAACCGGAGCUAAUACCGGAUAAUAUAUUGAACCGCAUGGUUCAAUAGUGAAAGACGGUUUUGCUGUCACUUAUAGAUGGAUCCGCGCCGCAUUAGCUAGUUGGUAAGGUAACGGCUUACCAAGGCAACGAUGCGUAGCCGACCUGAGAGGGUGAUCGCCCACACUGAAACUGAGACACGGCCCAGCCUCCGAGGGGAGGCAGCAGUAGGAAUUUUUCCGCAGUGGGGGAAAGCCUAGCGGGGCACCGCCGCGUGAGGGAUGAAGGUUUUCGAAUCGUAAAACUCUGUUUUUAGGGAAGAACAAAUGUGAAGGUACUAAUGCCCGUUUGGACGGUACCAAAUCAGAAAACCCGGGCGAACUACGG
rnacentral:rRNA from 1 species